rnacentral:rRNA from 1 species
UACGUAGGGUGCGAGCGUUAAUCGGAAUUACUGGGCGUAAAGCGUGCGCAGGCGGUUCUCCAAGUCCGUUGUGAAAGCCCCGGGCUCAACCUGGGAAUGGCAGUGGAAACUAGGGGACUGGAAUCUGGCAGAGGGGGGUGGAAUGCCGCGUGUAGCAGUGAAAUGCGUAGAGAUGCGGCGGAACACCGAUGGCGAAGGCAGCCCCCUGGGCUGACACUGACGCUCAGGCACGAAAGCGUGGGGAGCAAACAGG